GAACGGCCAAAUGCCAGUGCCAAGGUUCAGGUCCUACUGACUACCAACAUGGCUUCGGUUGGUAACAACACUGUAGAUGACGAUGAAACCUGCGAAGCCUUAGCAUUAACACGGGCGACAACUGCUUCCACAUAAUGGCUUCUUCCUUUGCAUCCACCUCCUAAACUUUAGUCCAUCUCACAUCGAAUGUUUUGAUACUAAUUAGAAAUAUUAAUUAUAGUCUAAUUAUAAAACUAACUUUGCACAGGAAGAACCAACCGAUGAGACAAAACUAUUAAACCUAAUUACUUCAUGAUUUUGUUCAUUUGAUAUAAAUUAAUUAGGCAUAAAUUCAUCUUGUUGUUUAGUCUUCAUAUACUUAAUUAGUUUUAUAAUUAAACUAUAUUUAAUAUUUAUAAUUAAUAUUGAAAUAUCUGAUGUGAGAUGACCUAAACUUAAGGUGACAGAGGAAUCAAACACCCUAGCAAUUUAAGGUGCAUUUGGUCGAGCUGUGAGUUAUGGAAAGGCUGAUAUAAAUUGUAUCCUAUAAGUUGUCAGGUGUAAAGAAAAAGCAAAAGGCUAUUUUGU
rnacentral:lncRNA from 7 species